GCACUGCUGAGGCGUCCAGCAACAGGACGAAACGGCCGUCCAGUGC
rnacentral:hammerhead_ribozyme from 1 species